GACGAACGCUGGCGGCGUGCUUAACACAUGCAAGUCGAACGGAAAGGCCCUGCUUUUGUGGGGUGCUCGAGUGGCGAACGGGUGAGUAACACGUGAGUAACCUGCCCUUGACUUUGGGAUAACUUCAGGAAACUGGGGCUAAUACCGGCUAGGAGCUCCUGCUGCAUGGUGGGGGUUGGAAAGUUUCGGCGGUUGGGGAUGGACUCGCGGCUUAUCAGCUUGUUGGUGGGGUAGUGGCUUACCAAGGCUUUGACGGGUAGCCGGCCUGAGAGGGUGACCGGCCACAUUGGGACUGAGAGACGGCCCAGACUCCUACGGGGGGCAGCAGUGGGGAAUAUUGCACAAUGGGCGGAAGCCUGAUGCAGCAACGCCGCGUGCGGGAUGACGGCCUUCGGGGUGUAAACCGCUUUCGCCUGUGACGAAGCGUGAGUGACGGUAAUGGGUAAAGAAGCACCGGCUAACUACGUG
rnacentral:rRNA from 1 species